rnacentral:sRNA from 1 species
UGUAGUUAUGUUCUAUUUAUAGUUAAUUAAUAUUUGUAAUCGUACAAUAAAUAUUUAAUAAUUAGAAGGACAUACUAAAAUUUCAACAAUACAAAUACAAAUACAAAUAUAUUAACGAUAGUGUAUUAUGAUGGCUCAAUCGUAUAUAAAUACAAUAGACAUACGUACACAUAAAACACACACAUACACAAGUUGGCUUUAAUGUAUGCAUACACAUAACAUGUAACUAAGUUUAUUGAGUGUUUAUUACAAACAAAACAAAACGUCAUUAUAAGAAUUAUACAUUUAAAUCUAGUGAAAAUUGUUUAAUAUUCAAAAAUAACAAAAAUUAAAAAGAAAAAUAUAAAAUAUUUAUAAAAAUUAUGCCAAAAUGAGUUUUGUUCUCCCAAAUACAAUAGUUACAUCAUCGAAUAGAAGUCUACAACUGAGUCGGGCAAAAAUUAUAUCGUAACCAGUGUUGACCUACCAACUUUUGGAAAAGGGCGCCAGUUUUGAUAAUGACUAUAACUUUAGAGAGUGUUAAGGAAUCUCUUCUAAAUUUCGUAAGUCUGUGUAGAAAUCUGUGGCAACUGCAUAUAAUAUGGCAAAAUCUGGUCCAAACUUAUGUUCCAUUCGACUCGGUGUAACGGCGAAAAUGGCGCCUUUCUGGUCUCAAACACAUAAAUCUGGUGAUCGAUUUAUCCAAACUCGUCACGAUUGUUCAUUGAAAUUGGGGCAGACAUACGACUUCAUGAACUUAAGAUUUCUCAUCGGGAGAUCAGUAUAAAGGGUUUUAUAUCAAGGUAUAGGCCAUUUGAUUUACGAUUGACUGCACUGUAAUGUCCACUUUUCUUUUAGUAACUUAUCUCAUUUCAAUAAACAUUCCGCUCCCCAUACCCGAAAAUUUGUCUUCACGUGGCAUUUUUCAUCAAAAAUCCGAAAAAAAUUAUAAAUUUCCAAUUUUUUUUAAAAGUGGGUUGAUUCUCACCAACUGCUAUAUAUUUCACAGUAAAAAAAAAAAUGGAAAUUGUUGACUUUUUAGCUCCUUAAACUUAAGUUUUUACCAAUGCACUUGUAAAUAUUUUCUUUGGAAAUUUCAAACUUCGAGCGUGUCCCAUUCGGUAGCAAUAACCUGUGGUGAGCAUGGCGAAACAAAUGUGGUCUCAUUUGUAUAACAACCACAAAUCAUAUGGUUCAAUCCGCUAUCUUGUCAUCAAGCUGAUCUACGUUUUGCCAACUCACACAAAGAAAAUUGUGUGAGUGUGUCUAUACGUGUGCGUAUAUGAGCAGAGAAUAUGCGAGAAAGAAGACAACAACAAAGAGAAUGCAAACAAAAAUCUGACAUCUAAA